ensembl:snoRNA
GCAGACUCACUCUGUGCCGAACUGCAGUCUUCAGUUCAGGUGCUUUUUCUGUCUGCGAAAGUAAUAGUUCACGGGUGUGAGAAACACUUCUUUCAUGUAGAAGUCUGUUACAAUUGCUCUUGGGACAUUGUU